GGGGGGGGGGGGGGGGGGGGGGGGGUAUCCUUUUUUUCUUAAAGCCUGCAAAAAUACUCUACCAAAAAAUGAAACGGGCAAAGGAAAAUAUUAGAGCACAACAAAAGGAAAUAAUAUUCUCUACUGUACACACAAUCACAUAUGGUAUGUAUGUCGAUUUCAAAAACUCGGAGAACCCAAAUAAAAGCUUAAACAAAACUAUGAUACUCAUAUCUUUUUGGCUAAAUGUUGUAAAAAGUGUAUUCCGCAAUUAUAUAUGUAUGUAUGUAGUCCUCGAAAUAAAAUUUAUAUUUUCUUGUAGGAAACAUACAGUACUCGUAGAAAUCACACAACAAAGUCCUCUCACAAAUCCUCGAGACCCAAAAUGGUUUCCUAGACCGGCAAAGAUAAAUUGAACAAGCACAUACUGUUUAACUGUAUAUAUGUAAUUAUAAAUGGAUGUGUGUGUCUUUAACUACUCGACACAUUAACCGUUUACUAACCUUAACCAUAUACAAACUAUACUAACCAUAUACAUAAACCUAAAAAUUCUUUGUGUAGUGGGAGCUAUCCUACCAAGAAUUGUACAUUUUAAAAUGCGAAACCAUUUUCAAGAAACCGAAAACCUACACUAUAGACACAUCUAAACACAUACUAACCAUUGUAUUAACUAAACGGGAAACCAGCAUUAGACUUACUAAAUAUUAUUAUAGCGUAACAACCAAAAUAAAAAAAGAGAAGAGAGAGGAAGAUAAUGAAUGGUAAGGAAAAUGCUUUCAAACUAAAUAAAGUUCGUUGGAACAACAAACAAAAAAAUGAGAUACAACAAAAAUAUAGGUGUUUUAUUAUUGGGCAUCUACAUCAACAUCACCGACUGCAGGUUUGUAGGUAGAAGAGAGGGGAAGAUAAUGAAUGGUUAGAAAAAUGCAUUGAAAGAAAAUUAAGUUGUUUGGAACAACAAACCAAAAAAAAAAAGGGAAGGGACAUGUGAGACGCUUCAUCAAAUUAGAAACUGCAGAGCUCUAGUUUUGUAGGGAUUGUUUAUGCAUAUAUGUAUAUAUAAUAUAUAACUUUAUAUAUAUAACUUUAGAAUGUCAUUAUCUUUAGUGUCCUUGAGUCCAAAUUACGUGCUAGCGAUGAAGCCCAUUUUCCAGUUGAGAGGAGACGUUUCGCGUCCUAUAAGGCUUAACCUUGCGAUUGCAAUAAAAUUGCAGUUUUGUAACCGCCAUGCUAAGCUAAAAGUAUGCACCCAUUUUUUAUGCAAUAACUUAAGUUACAUUCUGCAAAAUAUUGAAGCAUACUUUUAGUUACUUUGCGAAUGAAAAAAUGUGCAGUUUCACAUCGUCCAGCUUUUGACACAGUGAAAAAACAAAAAACCAGCUACCUUUUCCUGAUUUCUGUUAGCCUGGUACUCGAUGUGGAAAUGUUUAGUUUUCGCC
rnacentral:lncRNA from 1 species